ACAUGCGAUCAUACCAGCACUAAAGCACCGGAUCCCAUCAGAACUCCGAAGUUAAGCUUGCUUGGGCGAGAGUAGUAAUAGGAUGGGUGACCUCUUGGGAAGUCCUCGUGUUGCAUUCC
rnacentral:rRNA from 1 species